rnacentral:rRNA from 1 species
AGUGAACGCUGGCGGUAGGCCUAACACAUGCAAGUCGAACGGCAGCACAGUAAGAGCUUGCUCUUACGGGUGGCGAGUGGCGGACGGGUGAGGAAUACAUCGGAAUCUAUUUUUUCGUGGGGGAUAACGUAGGGAAACUUACGCUAAUACCGCAUACGACCUACGGGUGAAAGCAGGGGAUCUUCGGACCUUGCGCGAUUGAAUGAGCCGAUGUCGGAUUAGCUAGUUGGCGGGGUAAAGGCCCACCAAGGCGACGAUCCGUAGCUGGUCUGAGAGGAUGAUCAGCCACACUGGAACUGAGACACGGUCCAGACUCCUACGGGAGGCAGCAGUGGGGAAUAUUGGACAAUGGGCGCAAGCAUGAUCCAGCCAUACCGCGUGGGUGAAGAAGGCCUUCGGGUUGUAAAGCCCUUUUGUUGGGAAAGAAAAGCAGCAGGUUAAUACCCCGCUGUUCUGACGGUACCCAAAGAAUAAGCACCGGCUAACUUCGUG